rnacentral:rRNA from 1 species
UCGUGAAUUCAUCUCCGGGGGUAGAGCACUGUUUCGGCUAGGGGGCCAUCCCGGCUUACCAACCCGAUGCAAACUGCGAAUACCGGAGAAUGUUAUCACGGGAGACACACGGCGGGUGCUAACGUCCGUCGUGAAGAGGGAAACAACCCAGACCGCCAGCUAAGGUCCCAAAGUCAUGGUUAAGUGGGAAACGAUGUGGGAAGGCCCAGACAGCCAGGAUGUUGGCUUAGAAGCAGCCAUCAUUUAAAGAAAGCGUAAUAGCUCACUGGUCGAGUCGGCCUGCGCGGAAGAUGUAACGGGGCUAAACCAU